CCUACGGGUGGCAGCAGUGAGGAAUAUUGGUCAAUGGGCGCAAGUCUGAACCAGCCAAGCAGCGUGAAGGAAGACGGCUCUAUGAGUUGUAAACUGCUUUUGUACGGGGGUAAACGCAGAUACGUGUAUCUGUCUGAAAGUAUCGUACGAAUAAGGAUCGGCUAACUCCGUGCCAGCAGCCGCGGUAAUACGGAGGAUUCAAGCGUUAUCCGGAUUUAUUGGGUUUAAAGGGUGCGUAGACGGUCUGUUAAGUUAGAUGUGAAAUCCCGAGGCUCAACUUUGGAAUUGCAUCUGAUACUGGUCGUCUAGAGAGUAGUUGCGGUAGGCGGAAUUCAUGGUGUAGCGGUGAAAUGCUUAGAUAUCACACAGAACACCGAUUGCGAAGGCAGCUUACCAAGCUACUACUGACGUUGAGGCACGAAAGCGUGGGUAGCAAACAGGAUUAGAUACCCUAGUAGUC
rnacentral:rRNA from 1 species